rnacentral:miRNA from 1 species
UAGGGCAGAAUGAAGGAGUCCCU